rnacentral:rRNA from 2 species
GGUUGCGAUCAUACCAGCACUAAUGCACCGGAUCCCAUCAGAACUCCGCAGUUAAGCGUGCUUGGGCGAGAGUAGUACUAGGGUGGGUGACCCCCUGGGAAGUCCUCGUGUUGCAACCC